rnacentral:misc_RNA from 1 species
UAUAAAUAUUUUCUAUUACCUAUUACAUGCAUUUAUUUACAAUUAAUUGUUAACGACUGCAAUUAUGCUAAUAUUCUUCAAGUCUUAAUACUAUUAUAUAUUAGUGCUGUCGUGCUGAACGUACCUAUUUGCGACAUUGGAAAUUAAAAAUGGUUACAGUGGAAGUAGAAAAUGGUAGUAACCAAGAAACUCCUACACCGAACAAUAAUUAUGUUUCAAAUAUCAAACAGAACGGUCACAGUAUAGAACCUAUGAAUCAGAUUCCUGGCUACUUGUCAAUUUAUGCAAUAUUUCAGAUAAUUGGAAUAUUUCUUAUAUUAUCUGUCUUUUUAUGGCUUCAAAUUUAUCGGACUGGUUUCGGUUUUAGUGGAACAAUUCAUAUAUGCAACUGGCAUCCUUUAUUAAUGACAAUCACGUUUAUUUAUUUAUUCGCAAAUUCUAUCCUCCAUUUCAGAAAUUUUCGAAAUACUACAAAACGAAAAUUAAAAAUGCAACAUGCAACAAUUCAUAGUUGCAUAGUCAUAUUUGGGUUUGCACAGUUGGUUGGGAAUUAUUACUGUUAUAAUGUUCCUCUCUCAGUUUACAAGUGGAUUCAUAUCUUUUCUUUACCCUGAAAUAGGGAUGAGAUAUAAAAAAGUUAUAAUGCCGUAUCACAUAAUUUUUGGUAUACUGACGUUCGUAUUAUCUAUUAUAACUUCAGUUCUGGGAUUUAGUGAAAAAAUCAUAUUUGCAUUGAACCAACAGUAUGAGCAUAUGCCGACGGAAGGAAUAUUUUUAAACUUUUUAGGGAUAAUAUUAAUUGUUUAUGGUGUAUUGGUCGUGUACAUAUUGAUCAAACCGGAAUAUAAAAGAUCUUCUAAGGCAGAUGACGG